rnacentral:lncRNA from 1 species
CGAAGGGCGGCCUCGUGCUGAUGCGAGGCUGCGAGCUCCUGGGCUCCUCGAAGCUGCUCCCUCGGGCUCCAGCUCGGCCACACGCUGCUGGGCCUGGCCCAGGUGUCCUUCAUCGGGGCCACCUUGUCCUGCAGUCGCUGGGCCCGAGCACCCUGUUCCUCCUGCCCGCCCUUUGCUUCUGCAGCUCCCAAGGUAAGCGAUGGGUUUCCGGUCGUGCCCGCUGGAGCUCAGCCUCACUGGCUCCUUGUGCUCGCACUUCUUUCAGCCGCCCCAGGAGCCUCUCUUGUUCCCGAGUUAGGGCCUUCACCGUGUCCCUCACCGUGUCCCUCACCCUGUCCAACUCCACCUCCCUAGUCAGCACUUUCUCACUGAUGGUCCGGAUGUCAUCUUCCAGCUCCAGGACGCGUGCCACAUGGCCUCCCUGUUGUCGGCUCAGGAUGUCCCUCUCUUCUACGAGGUCCCCGUGGGACCCGGCGAGCCCCUUGUACUGCUCCCUGAGCUCCGCGUGCUCCUCCUGGCAGUCGCCAGAGCCGCCUCGAGAGCCUGUACUUGAUUCCUCAGCUCCGUCACCUGUCCCUCCACAGCAGCUUCAGCUGCAUCAGGUCAUUCCUCUCUUGCUGGCUCUCAUCCAGCUGGUUCUGCAGCACAGUGGCCUUGGGGACAACCAGCAGGAUGUCAGCGUCACCAUCAGUCUCCUCCAGGGUCACCAGUUCAUCCAUGGGCCUUGGCUCUCGGAACUGCAAAGGGGGACUCUGCCCACACACCCAGCCCUGGCAGUUCACGUACCAGAAUUGGUAGAGCUGGGCUCUGGGUUUGGGCAGGUAGCUGGCUUGGAACUCGACGCUCGUGUGGACAGGGGAGCCGGCAGCUGCAUUUUCCGGCACUGAAGACCAGACAAACGUGUGGUAAUCCCGAACACAGGCAGCCUCCACCUUGAAGAUGUCAAUCCAGCCGCUGGCACUGGGCACGGUGCCCGGGGGAAGGGUCUAGUGACAUUCCAUCUGGGUGUUGGGAGGUAGGUCCAUGCUAUACUCAGAAAAUUGACUCCAUCUCCGGGAGGUGCCUGGCAGUAGGGAUGAUUCUUCCACCUGCCCUCAAGCUAUUUGCCCUCCCACACCCGGAUCAGCUGUUCAUUCACCUUCCCUAAACAGAAAAUUUCUUUAAAAAAAAAAAUAAGAAUGAUAUUUAUUUGGCUUUUUGGAAAUAUAAAUAACAAUAGAUGA